rnacentral:lncRNA from 1 species
CACUCUUUUGACUCUUUUUCUACUCAAAUUUUCCGAGCAUUCUAUAUGUGUUAGAGUCUUAAGUCUCGGCAAGUGCAUUUUUUUCUUUUAUUUUUCUUUUCUCUUUUUUUUCUCUUUUUUUUCUUUUAAAAAAAAUACAUACUAUUUUUUGUAUGAUCUCUUAUUAUGCACUUGCUUCUCUUUCAAGAUUUCCACCCCAAACUUAGUUUUAUUGCACAUCUUGCAAUUCACACAAUCAUACCGAGUUAUGAAACAAACGGACAUGAAUGAUUAAAAAUUAACAGGGGGUUUAUGAUGAAUAAUGCUUAAAAG